GAAGAAAAGGUUUAAGAUGUGGAAAAAUUCAUGUUCCUCUUCUGGUAACCUGGAAUCUGUCAACAACUUCACCAUGUAGCCAAAGUCAUAACCACUGAAAACAAAACCACAGAGAAACCAGGGCUUGGGGAUGACCCCCAAAAUGCCUUCUGUGGAACAGCUAAGCCAUUGGGAAGAAUACACAUUUCUGCCCCACUGUGUAGAUUUCUGUAGCUAAGGGCAAUACAGAGAAGAAAGAAACCCUGCAAGUAUAUGUUGAGAGAGAAGGAGGUGGUGGCAAGUCCUUUCAUUUGUGAUACCAUGUUGGACCAGAGGCUUCCUGAUCAAGUUGGUUGAAAUGCUACAAGAUAUCUUAACCACACAGGUGGAAGGAAAUUCAGAGCACCACCAACAUUUUAAGGAAGAAGAAACAAAAUCCUUUACAAUGCAUUUACUAAGUGCAGAAAUCAUAUUUCAACUUCUUCAAGAGAGGGAGACUGUAAAGCAAAAGGAUUCACAAGCAGUCAGGAAGUCACACCAUGAAGUGUCCUUACUUCUUAAACUUGGCCUUCAUAUCUUGAAGUUUCUUUUAAGAACUGCAGGACUGCUAAUUUUUCUCCUUAAAAUCUGUCAAUCUCCAUGAAAAAUGCAGAGAAUUAAGAAGAGAUUUAACAGGGUCAGUGAGCAUCCUGGACCCACCUGUGGAAGGACAGCCAUUUCACACUGUCACUGAGGACGACGCCCGACGUCAUCAGCAGCUCAGCAAAAUGCAAGGUAUCAAUCCCUUCCUCCUCAUGCUUCUGGAACUGCAGCCCAGAGCUGGCAAGGAGGUCUAUGGAAUCCUGAGAGUACAUGUCUUCCCUGAAGGAAAAACAAAAAAGCAAGUUUGCACUCAGGGUGCUGCCAAGACAAGCUCAUUUUAGAGAAAUUCUCCCCACACCAUGUCAAGAAUUGGACAAACCAGUAGGAUACUUCUGGGUCCAGUUUGUCUCUCUAGAAAACUCAAACUGGCUCAGUUUCAAUACCACUACUGCAGCCUCCUACAGCCAUAACAAGCUGUUCUGUGAUCAUAACUAGUUAACACUUCCACUGCUAGUGCAAAUUCCAAAGAUUCCAGCUCCAUAACUGACUGUUCUGAACGAUGUCCCUUCUGCAAGGUGAAGGGGAGCACCACAGAUGAGGCCAGAGGAAAGGGGAGUUCUCCCAAACAGGAAGAUGUGCAUCUCUAAAGCACUGACCAUCACUCCUGUCUACAUUUUUCCUUUCCACUCCACAGCAUGUACCACCUUAUCAGCACCUCCACUUCCAUCUCUGGGAGUGAACAGAAUUGCGUCAUCCUUGACUCAGGAAGCAGGACAAGAAUGAUGUGCUUGGUGGAGAGCUGAGCAGGAACCUGACUUCUUUACUGGUUUGUGUCAUUUGAGGGGGAGGAAACACACAGAGCCAAGUUCUAUCAAUAUGAUAACUCAUUUAAAUGAAAUGAUCACACAGCAAUAACAACUCCACUCUGAUUCCAAUACCUCUAAGAGGCUCACAAAUUUGUGGAGUAAAUAGUGCAACUUUUGGGGUCAAGAACUGGAUGAUCUGCACAUAGUAGCUACAAAUUUUUGUAAUGCUUUUCAUAAAAAUAGAUUUCCUCUACAUAUGUGGUUUUGCCAGAUAAACCCUUUCUUUAUUUCCAGACAGCUCUAGUGGUAAUUAUGCUGAGUUUAUCUUUAUAAUUACAGGGGAAGGGAUAAUAAAACUUGUUUCAGCUGCAACCCAGGAUAUUACAGUAUGCAGGAGACAAGAACUGCCACACUCCAUUUAACAAGAUUCAUUCUCCUGAACAGAUGUGAUGAUUACACCAACAUGUUUUUAGAUCCCAGCUUAUACUUAAGCAUGGAUCUGUAAAGAGGUCUUUUUCUUUUUGAUGAGACCAGCACAUCCAUUUAUUUUUAGCAGAAAGAGAUGGAGUUUUACAUAGAUAUAUAUAUGAAGUUUCAAACAGUGUUCCAGAAAAAAAAAAAAGGCAUACAAAAUUAUCAAGAGUAAGGGUAAUAAGGAUAGAAUUUUUACACUGUUAACUCCUGGCCCUCCAAAAUAGGCUCCCACAUAGUCAGUACUAGAAUCUGAAUCCUUAUUGCUCAGAAGCAGCCAGCAGUGAUGAACACAUGGACCCCGGUAUUUGCCAAAGGAAAGCAUCACUCCAGCAGAAGGAACAGGAAAUCAACGCCAAAGACUCACGUGAGGUUGAAUUUGAAGUUGAACUGCCAGGUGUUAAUGCCAGAAGGAUAUUCCCCCUUCUCAUUUGUGAAAGUCAGGCCCAGCUGGAUGAUUUUGAGCAGGUCCACGUUACAGCGAAGCAGCUGGUACUGGUAAUCGAUGGAGCUGCGGAAUUCACCGAUCGGCCGGACCACCACGCCGGGGAACUCCGUGUCCUGGCACACAAGGGAAAACUGAGCUUCACCAGGGAUUCUCUUAGGAGGCACUAUUACCACUCUGUUAGGACAGCCCAGACACUGAAACCCUUCACUGCUUCUGAGGAACAGUCAGUGCCUACAUCAACAAAAACCACUGUCAGUCAAACACACCUCAACAACAGCAGCCAUCUGUUAAAUGAAAAACCGCCUUUUAGAUGAAAAAACACCUUUUAGAUGUAAAACCACCUUUUAGAUGUAAAACCUCCUUUUAGAUGAAAAAGCUCUUCCUCAGCCAGUGACUGUGUGCUGUCUUUGCUGAACACCAAACUGCCAUACUGUUUCUACCCCCAGACUGGGUCACUGAGCUUCUACUGACUGCACACAAAAUCCUUCACAACAAACACAGUGCUGUGCACCUGACACAAUCUGUCCCUUGCCCAAGAGGUUUGUCUGUCUGCUCUUACAGCACAGUCACUCAAAUCCUAAGAACACUUUCAGUGAGACUGAAAAGAAGAAAAAAGUUCAUUUCCCAUUCACAAAUGUUAAAAAAUCAUGUUCACUUCCACAGCUGAAUUUGACACCAAUUCCCCACACACUCUGCAAAGACACCUGUCUUUUGCCAGGCUUUUAAUGAGGACUUUUCAUAUCUUGAGGUUCAGUGCUCCUAAGCAGAGCUGGCAGAACUUACAGCAUCACAGCUAAAACCAGUUCUUUAUCUAACACACUGGGGUGCUGCCAAGCAGAUACAGACUUGUGAGGGCAGGAGGAGAUUCCUCCCACCUGGGGGAGAUUAUGCUCUUCUUAAAUAAAGCUUUCUGAACAUAUUGUCUUAUCUACAGCCAGAAUAUUUUUCUUCCCUAAGAAUCAACAUCUGCCCUCAUUAGAAAGGAGGCAGCCCAGCUGGCUAGCAGUCACUUGCAGGCCUUUUGACCUCCAGUCCCAUGGCAUCUUGUAUAAUCAAAUGGAGAAAAACAUCCAAAGGACAAACACACUGGUGGAAAAACAAGGAUUUAAACCCAAUAGUGACUUGUUUCAUUUUCCUGUUGCACAAACUAAUACACUAUGAAUAGCUGAAUAUCAAAUAAAUUCAGGUUUUUAA